GACGAACGCUGGCGGCGUGCUUAACACAUGCAAGUCGAACGGAAAGGCCCUGCUUUUGUGGGGUGCUCGAGUGGCGAACGGGUGAGUAACACGUGAGUAACCUGCCCUUGACUUUGGGAUAACUUCAGGAAACUGGGGCUAAUACCGGAUAGGAGCUCCUGCUGCAUGGUGGGGGUUGGAAAGUUUCGGCGGUUGGGGAUGGACUCGCGGCUUAUCAGCUUGUUGGUGGGGUAGUGGCUUACCAAGGCUUUGACGGGUAGCCGGCCUGAGAGGGUGACCGGCCACAUUGGGACUGAGAUACGGCCCAGACUCCUACGGGAGGCAGCAGUGGGGAAUAUUGCACAAUGGGCGGAAGUCUGAUGCAGCAACGCCGCGUGCGGGAUGACGGCCUUCGGGUUGUAAACAGCUUUCGCCUGUGACGAAGCGUGAGUGACGGUAAUGGGUAAAGAAGCACCGGCUAACUACGUG
rnacentral:rRNA from 1 species